GGCUCAGAUUGAACGCUGGCGGCAUGCUUUACACAUGCAAGUCGAACGACAGCACAAGUGCUUGCACUUGGUGGCGAGUGGCGAACGGGUGAGUAAUACAUCGGAACGUGUCCAGGAGAGGGGGAUAACGCAUCGAAAGAUGUGCUAAUACCGCAUAUACUCUGAGGAGGAAAGCAGGGGAUCGAAAGACCUUGCGCUUUUGGAGCGGCCGAUGUCUGAUUAGCUAGUUGGUGGGGUAAAGGCCUACCAAGGCGACGAUCAGUAGUUGGUCUGAGAGGACGACCAGCCACACUGGGACUGAGACACGGCCCAGACUCCUACGGGAGGCAGCAGUGGGGAAUUUUGGACAAUGGGCGCAAGCCUGAUCCAGCAAUGCCGCGUGAGUGAAGAAGGCCUUCGGGUUGUAAAGCUCUUUCAGUCGAGAAGAAAAGGUUACGGUGAAUAAUCGUAGCUUAUGACGGUAUCGACAGAAGAAGCACCGGCUAACUACGUGCCAGCAGCCGCGGUAAUACGUAGGGUGCGAGCGUUAAUCGGAAUUACUGGGCGUAAAGGGUGCGCAGGCGGCUUUGUAAGUCAGAUGUGAAAUCCCCGGGCUUAACCUGGGAAUUGCGUUUGAAACUACAAAGCUAGAGUGUGGCAGAGGGAGGUGGAAUUCCAUGUGUAGCAGUGAAAUGCGUAGAGAUAUGGAAGAACAUCGAUGGCGAAGGCAGCCUCCUGGGUUAGCACUGACGCUCAUGCACGAAAGCGUGGGGAGCAAACAGGAUUAGAUACCCUGGUAGUCCACGCCCUAAACGAUGUCAACUAGUUGUUGGGCCUUAUUAGGCUUGGUAACGAAGCUAACGCGUGAAGUUGACCGCCUGGGGAGUACGGUCGCAAGAUUAAAACUCAAAUGAAUUGACGGGG
rnacentral:rRNA from 1 species